GGCCUGAUGGUCUAGUAGUAUGAUUCCUUGUUAGGGUAUCAAAGUCCAAUCGAGGAGGUCCCGGGUUCAAUUCCCGGUCAGGCCC